rnacentral:rRNA from 1 species
AGUAACACGUGAGGAACCUGCCUCGAAGACCGGGAUAACAGCGGGAAACCGCUGCUAAUACCGGAUAUCCCCACUGGGUCGCAUGGCCUGAUGAGGAAAGGAUUCUGCUUCGAGAGGGCCUCGCGGGCUAUCAGCUUGUUGGUGGGGUAACGGCCUACCAAGGCGACGACGGCUAGCUGGUCUGAGAGGACGACCAGCCACACUGGGACUGAGACACGGCCCAG